rnacentral:lncRNA from 1 species
CGGGUGCAUAAAGAAGCAUGCUUAAUUUUUUAAAAAAUGCCUCUCUAUCUUGCCUAUGCUGGAGGCGCAGUGGGCAUUCAAAUAACCUUGAGCAGCAUAGAAGCUUUGACCUGCUACUUUUCAAAUCUGGACUAGGUUGCAGUUGCCUCUCAUGAGUCAUGAGUCAGUCUGGUGGCCCCCUGCUCUUCAGGGUAUCAACUGUAUUGUACCAGAUUGAAACACCUGAUCAGCUUUUGUCCACUGCACCUCAACACUCGAGCUCUACAAGCCUCAGGUUCCCUGGUAGCAAGAAUAAGGCAUACCACAUCUGCAUUGAUACCUAGCUUCAUGAUCAAACCUCUAGAACCAUAGAAUUGGUCAUUAUAUUGAGUCAAAGUUAUUUGUCUUUAUUAUUAUUAUGUAAAUUUUUCUCUUGGUCCUGUCCUAUGCAACUAUUUUCAUGUCUUUUAUAACAUCAUUUAUGUAUUUUAUUCAUAUGUAUUUCAUUCAUGAAUGUGAAUUAUACAAAUGGUACUGUAUUUUAUAUAUAACAUAUGGGUGUCUGUUACAGAACAAUCAUAUUCUGCUCCUUUCAUAGACCACAAUUUGUUCAGCAAUUAAUAGUCAACCUCUUCAUUUCCAAUUCUUUGCCACCACAAAAAGAGUUAAAAUAAAUAUUUUUAUACAUAUAGGUUCUUUUCUAGCUCUCUUUAAUCUCUUUUGGGGUAUAAGUCUUAUAAUGGUAUUUCUGGACCAAAAGGCAGGCACAAUUUGGUGACUUUGGGAUAUAAUCCCAUAUGGAUUUCUAGAAUAGCUAGAUCAAUUAACAGUUCCACCAAGUUUCACUUUUAUAUACCUGUUUUCCUGCAAUCCUCCAAUAUCUUCCUUUUCCAUCAUCUUUACCAACUUGAUGGAUAUAAAGUAUAACCCAACUUUAGCUAUUUCAAAAUAUAUUUCCAUAUUGAUUAAUAAUAUUUUUUAACAUGGGUAUGUAUUAAAAGAUUUCUUCCUCUAAAAACCACCUAUUUAUAUCCUAUUUCCAUUUUUAUAUUGGCAAGUGGUUUUAAGUAUUAUAAAUUUGAAGUAAUCCAUUACAUAUCUUGGAAAAAGACCAUUAUCAGAUUUAAACCCCUCAGAUUUCUUUUUCUUUUAUAAUUUUAACUGCACUGGAUUUGUUUGUAUAAAAACUUUUAUAUAAUCAAAAUUAUUUGUUUUCCUCUUUUUCUGUAUCUUAGUCAUAUCUGUAGAUAUGACAGAUAAUUUCUUUGUCUCUUCUAUUUGUUUAUAAGGUUAACUUUUAUGUUUGUCAUGUACCCAUUGAUAGCUUAUCUUGGUAAACAGUAUAGAGUAUGACUCUAGACCCAUUUUCUGUUUGACUGCUUUGUAAUGUUUCCAACAGUUUUUGUUGAAUAAUAAGUUCUUAUUCCAGUAACUAGAAUAUUUAGGGUUUUUCAAAUAUUUGACUACUGUGCUCUUUGGCUUUUGUUUCUAAUCUGUUCCUGAUUGACCUCUGUUUCUUAACCAGUCUCGUAUUGUUUUGAUGAAUUACUGCUUUAUAAUAUAACUUAAGAUCUAGUACUGUGAAGUCUUCAUUUCAACUUUUUUUCUGUCAUUUUCCUAGAGAUUCUUGACUUUUUUUUUGUCCAGAAAAUUUUAUUUUUUCUAGUUCUACAAACUAAUCCUUUGUUAAUAAGUGAAUUUAGAUAGUAUUUGUUGUCCUUUUUAUUAUAUUGUCUCAGCCCUACCUUUGAAGUAUCAAUAUUUCUCCAGAUAUUUAGGUCUGUCUUUAUUUCUGUAAGUUAUAUUCGGUAGUUGUAGUUCAUGUGUAUCUUAAUAAGUAGAUUGUAUAUUCCAAAUAUUGUAUAUGUUCCAUAGUUAUGAAUGGAAUUUCCUUUUUUACUUUUUCUUGAUGGGUUUCCUAGUAAUAUAUCAGAAUAUUAUUGGUUUAUGUGGAUUUAUUUUAUAACCUGUAACUCCUAAAGUCAUUCAUUCCAACUAAUUUUUAGUUGACUCUCUGGGAUUCUUUAAUUAAGCCAUCAUAUUACUCACAAAAAGCACUAAUUUUGUUUCCUUUUUAUCCAUGCUUAUUCCUUCAUUUUCUUUAUCUUGCAAUAUUGCUAAUACUAGUUUUUCUAUCAUUAUAUCAAAUAAUAGUAGUAAUUAUGGAUAUCCUUACUUUACUUACUGAUCAUAGUGGAAACACAAGCUUAUUGUCAUUACAUAUAUAUCUAUGUGUGUGUGUGUGUGUGUGUAUAUAUGUUCUUAAUUUUUGAUAGAUACUAAUUGUCAUAGCAAAAAAAAUAUAUACAUAUAUAUGUAUAUAUAUAUAUAUAUACUUGCAUUCUAGUCUUUUUGUUUUUUAAACAGGAAUGGAUAUCUAGUCAAAAGAUUUUUCUAUAUCUACUGGUACAUGAUUUUAAUUAUUCUUGUUACUGAUAUGGUCUAUUAUGUUGAAAAGUUCCCAAUAUUGAAUGCAGGAAUCUGCAUUCCUGAUAUAAUUCCAAAUAUUAAAAAACCAUUCUCAGUAUUGUACAAGAUUUAGCAACUAUCAUUUAAAAGAACAGAAAACAUGAAAUGAAAUUAUCCAAAAGACAAAGAUCUACAGCCAAUAAUAUUUAUCCAAGAAAACUGAGUAUAAUCCUACAAAGGAAAAAAAGGUAUAUCUUCAGUGAAAUAGAGUACUAGCAAAUAUCCCUAAUGAAUGAAAAAAAGAGUUAAAAAGGAACUUUGAAAUAUAAAUUCAUAAAUGAAGAAAAAAAACUUGAACAAUCAGAAGGGACAGUCUGAUGGAAGGUGGGUUGUUGAAAAGUUCUUUUAAAACUACUGUCACAAAGAAUUAUAGAAUCAUUUGAGACAAUUUCUAUAAUAGUUUCAUUUUUUAAAAAAUGUUUUGAAAAUGUAAGAAGAAAAGAGAGGGGAAGGAUAAAUUAAAGAGAGGUGGGAGAAAAUAUGGAAGGAUCUUGAGACACAUAAUCAAGUUGUGCAAAUAGGUCUAUAUUAAACAUGAAAAGAAUAGGGGGGACACAGAUCUCUUAAACUUCACUUCCAUUUAAACUGUUCAAGAGAGAAAGCAUACACAUGCACAUACAAACACAUGCACUUUUAGUGUGAAAUGCAUUCAAUUCAAUAGGGGAAAAAUAGGGAAGGAGGAUAGAUUCAUGGAACAAUUAAUCAUAAGCAAAAACAAACCCUAAACUUGGAAAGGUGAUAAUGAAAAAAGGAGGAAUAAAAAGAAAGAGGAAUAAGUAGGAAUUAAGGAAUAUAAAGAAGAAAAAAUGUAAAAGGACAGAACAGAGAGAAACAAACAGUUAACUAUUAAUGUGAAUGUGAUGAACAGAAGAAAUGAGCAGAAUGGACAAAAACAAAAUCCAAUAAUAUGUUCCUUAAAUGAAACACCUGAAAAAAAUGUAAUAAUUGCAUAAAGUACUGGUUGGAGCAAAAUCUAUUAUGCCUUAGCUCAACACAAGAAAGCAGGGAUAGUGAUUAGAAUUUCUGAUAAAAAGAAAUUGGCGAAGCUGAAAAACAAAACAAAACAUUGAUUUAAGGAUUAAAAUCAGAAGCUAUUUUCCCCCAGGGAAAAACAAUAAAAUAGUUGAAUCCUUAGGUAAUUUGGUUGGAAAGAAGAAAGAAAAAUUAAAUUAUCAGCAUAAAUAAAUGAAAAAAGGAAUAUUCAAAACAAAUGAAGAAGAAAUAAAGGAUGCUCUUAGCAACUUUCAGCCAUCUCUAUGUUAACAAAACGGACAACCUAGAUAAAAUAUAUUAAUAUUUACAAAAAAUAUAAAAUAUCCAGAUUAACAGAAGAAACAAAAUUUAAACACCACAGUUUGGUUGAAAUUGAACAAAUCAUAAAUGAAAUUCCUAAAGAAAAAAUCCCAGGACCAGAUGGAUUCAAAAGUGAAAUCUAUGAAACAUUCAAAAAAUAACUCCAAUAUUACAUAAAUCAUUUGCAAAAAUAGCAAAAGGAAUCCUACAAAAUUAUUUUCAUAACAUAAAUAUACCCUUUACAUACAAGGCCAUUCAAAACAGAAAAAGAAAACUAGAUCAAUCUCCCUAAUGGCAUAAUUAGCACCAAAAAAAAGCCAAAAUAAUGUAUCAGAAAGAUUAUGUACUAUGAUUAGGUUGGAAGUAACAGUUAAAUAAUGUACCUUUCCUUUAAAUGGUUAAUAUGUAUCUAAAAUCAAGAACUUCCAUUUUUUGCAUGUGAUAAAGGAAUCCUUUCCAGUUAAUUCAUUGUUGAAACAAGGACAUUCACUGUUGCCACUUCUUGAAUUAAUAAUGCUUAGCAAUGAGACAAGAAAAAGAAAUAGAACUACCUUGAUAAAGAAGAAAAACGUUAACAAUCUUUGCAGAUGAUAUGAUAUACUCAAAAGAACCUAGAGACCCAACUAAAAAAAUUGAGUUAAAUAAUAAUUUCAUCAAACUUAGAGGAUAUAAAAUAAAUUCAUACAUCACCAAAAUUUCUAUAUGAUUGCAGUAAAAUCCAGAAGGGAAAGCUAGAAAUAGAAAUUGAACUUGACAUUCUAUCUUCGAAGAUACAUACAAGAACUAAGUAAAUACAACUAAAAACAACUGUUUACAGAAAUGCAGAUCUAAAUAAUUGGAAAGAUAUUGUUCAUAUGUGGGCUGAGCCAAUAUAUUAAAAAUGGUAAACUAUCUAAGUUUAAUUAUUUGAUGCCAUAACAAAUUCCUAAAGAUUACUUUAUAGAACUAAAAUAAAUAUUAAUAAUGAUGAAAUUCAUGUGGAAGAAAAAACCAUCAAGAUUUUCAAUAGGUAUAAUAAAAAAUGAGAUCAAAAGGAUCCAGCAGCAUUAAAUCUCAAACUGUACUACAAAGCAAUAAUUAUUCAAUUAGGUAAUAUUUUUAAAUUUUUUAAUAAGUAGAUCAGAUUAAUAAUUAUUUAAUACCCUGGUAAUUGAUCAGCACAGAGAUGGAUACUAGAUAAAUCUUCAUUCAUUUGUUCAUUUAUUUGACAAAAAUAUUGGGAAUAUUGGAUGUUUGUAUGGAAAAGGUUAGAUUUAGACUAACACCUCACACCUUAUAAAAGAUGAACUCCAUAUCAGUACAAUUAGAGAACCAUUGAAAAAAUAUACCUAUCAAAUCUCUAUUGCUAGGAGAAAAGUUCAUGUUAGGGAUAGAAAAGAUCACAGAAGAUAAAAUAGGUCAUUUUAAUUACAUUUGCAUAAACAAAUCUACUUAAGCGAAGAUAAAACAACUGAAAAGUUUUCAACAAGCUUCUCUGAUAAAAGUUUCAUUUCUAAGGCUGCUACAGAUUAGAUGUGUAUGUAUACAUAUGUAUGUAUGUGCUUAUAUGUAAAGAUGUAUAUGAAACGAAUUAAAAUAAAUAAGAAUAGGAGCCAUUCCUCGUUUGAUAAAUGAUCUAGUGAUAAAAAAUUGUAUUCAAAAGUGAAAUCCAUGCUAUCUAGCUCUAUGAAAAAGAAAAAAUGCUCCAAAUUAGCAUCACAGUACUGAAAUUCUACUUCAUAUCCAUCAAAGUGGCAAAGUUGACAAAAAAAAAAAAAAAGGAAUUUGAUAAAUGUUAGAAAAAUCAUGAGAAAAGAAUCAAAUUAAUGCUCUGUUGGUGAGCCUAUGAAUAACUGCAAUCAUUAUAUAAAGUAAUUUGGAAGUUUAUACAGAAAAUUAGUAAGUAGUAUGUUCCCUUUGACUCAGCUGUAUCAUAGGUCAGUAAUCAAGAGAGGCAAGGAAAGAGGAAAAGAUCUUAUAUUUACAAGAAUAUUUUUUUAUGUUAGUUAAAAAACAAACAAACUGGAAACUAAUGGGAUGUUCCUCAAAAAUAACUGAGCAGGUCAUGCUACAUAUGAAUGUGAAGGAAUACUAUUGUGCUACUAGAUAUAAGGAAAUAGAUUACUUCAAGAAGAAAUGGAAACUUUUAUGAACUGAUAGAAAGUGAGAUAGAAAUAGAGUCAGGAAGACAAGUUAUACAUAAUAUCAGUACUACAAAAAUGAAGAAUUUUGAGUAUGCUUAGAAAUUGAUGAAUGAAACAUGAACCAAAGAACAACAUGUAAUAAUAACAUUGAUAAUGGUCAAAAUAAGCAAUUUUGAAAUGAAUCCAGUGAUCAUUCCAGAUUCUAGAGGAACAAUGAUAAAAAUAUACAGAGAUGUGCUGAGUAUAAGGUGCAGAAUAUGAUGUGUAUUUUUGUACACAGCCAUUGAGGGAAUUUGUUUUGCUUAACUGCAUAUUUGUUAAAAGCAAUUUCUCUUUUUUUCUUUUUCUUUUUCCAAUCGUUUGAGGAAGAAGAGAAAUAGAUUUGAUUUUUUUUUUCUCAGAGGUGGAGUUGCUUAGAUAUGAAAUCUUGCAUGCAUUUUCAGAUGAUGUUGCUGUAUUUGUAGUUGUCCUUAACUGUUUUCUUUGUUUUAAGAGUCCUCUUGUGAAGUAG